GAUUUCAAUUCAAAAGGUCAUCACAACAAAAUUGUAUAACUCAUCAAGAUCUAUAACUUUUAUUUUGGUCAUUUCUUCAUCCAACAAAGUGAUAGUAACAUUGUUUACAAAAUUCACAUAUCUCUCAUUUGGUUUUAUAAACUAUAACACAGAUAUGUCAAUUUUGUUAGCAAUGUUACUAACACUUUAUCGGAUGAAGAAAUAACAAAAAUAAAAGUUAUAGGUCUUGAUGAGUUAUACAACUUUGUCGUUGAUGACUUCUUAGAUGAAAUN
rnacentral:pre_miRNA from 1 species